rnacentral:rRNA from 1 species
AGUAACGCGUGGGUAAUCUGCCCCCGAAUUGGGGAUAACAUUGCGAAAGCGAUGCUAAUACCGGAUAACAUUUUAAGUACUUCGGUUCUUAAAACCAAAGGUGGCCUCUACAUGUAAGCUAUUGUUUGGGGAUGAGCCCGCGUACCAUUAGCUUGUUGGUAGGGUAAUGGCCUACCAAGGCAACGAUGGUUAGCUGGUCUGAGAGGAUGAUCAGCCACACUGGAACUGACACACGGUCCAG